AUAAUUAACACAGCCUGAUUUUUGACGUCGAUCUUGUCUGUUUGCAUCAUAUUUCUUAAACUCCAAGACAGCAGAUUAGGAGUGGCUACACUGGUCAGUUUCAGUGUCAUGAUAACCUUGUUAUGCAAUUCUCCUGCUGGGCAGCGCGUUAGAGAGUAUAGUGGUUUGCAGCUUAUCUACGCCAAAAUUUGAAUUCUGGUAAACAGGAUGUGUGCGUUUUCUUGUUGCUGAUUUUCAAACAAGAUUUUUGCAUCAUAUAAGCCAGAAUUAGCGCUGGAUUAUUAACACCUGCUUUUUAGAUGACAGUUCCAUCAACAGACUUGAAUUUCAUUCAAAUAGCCACGUUUGAAAGAACCGCCUCUAGCUGAUAAAGGCAUUUUUUUAUUCUGCUUUACAGAAAAGAGCUUCUUGUUCAAUUCUUUCCUAGGACAGACUUCUUGUGAACUUUAUUAAUGUGUGCGAUUCCAUUUAUAUAAUAGAUCCGCCAC